rnacentral:rRNA from 1 species
CCUACGGGUGGCAGCAGUGAGGAAUCUUGCUCAAUGGGCGCGAGCCUGAACCAGCCAAGUCGCGUGAAGGAUGACUGCCCUACGGGUUGUAAACUUCUUUUAUAAAGGAAUAAAGAGAGGCACGUGUGCUUUUUUGUAUGUACUUUAUGAAUAAGGAUCGGCUAACUCCGUGCCAGCAGCCGCGGUAAGACGGAGGAUCCGAGCGUUAUCCGGGUUUAUUGGGUUUAAAGGAAGCGUAGAUGGGUUGGUAAGUCAGUUGUGAAAGUUUGCGGCUCAACCGUGAAAUUGCAAUUGAUACUGGCAGCCUUGAGUACAGGUGAGGUAAGCGGAAGUCGUGGUGUAGCGGUGAAAUGCUUAGAUAUAAGGAAGAACUCCAGUGGCGAAGGCAGCCUACUAAACUGCCACUGACAUUGAUGCUCGAAAGUGUGGGUAUCAAACAGGAUUAGAUACCCGAGUAGUC